rnacentral:rRNA from 1 species
AGAGCGAACGCUGGCGGCAGGCUUAACACAUGCAAGUCGAGCGGGCGUAGCAAUACGUCAGCGGCAGACGGGUGAGUAACGCGUGGGAACAUACCUUUUGGUUCGGAACAACCCAGGGAAACUUGGGCUAAUACCGGAUAAGCCCUUACGGGGAAAGAUUUAUCGCCGAAAGAUUGGCCCGCGUCUGAUUAGCUAGUUGGUGAGGUAACGGCUCACCAAGGCGACGAUCAGUAGCUGGUCUGAGAGGAUGAUCAGCCACAUUGGGACUGAGACACGGCCCAAACUCCUACGGGAGGCAGCAGUGGGGAAUAUUGGACAAUGGGCGCAAGCCUGAUCCAGCCAUGCCGCGUGAGUGAUGAAGGCCCUAGGGUUGUAAAGCUCUUUUGUGCGGGAAGAUAAUGACGGUACCGCAAGAAUAACGCCCCGGCUAACUUCGCGCUAGCAGCCGC